UUAAAGAGAGUUUGAUCCUGGCUCAGGACGAACGCUGGCGGCGUGCCUAAUACAUGCAAGUCGAACGAACCAAAGAGAAGCUUGCUUCUCUGUCGGGUGAGUGGCGGACGGGUGAGUAACACGUGGGCAACCUGCCUAUCGAGCGGGGAUA
rnacentral:rRNA from 1 species